rfam:Stegodyphus mimosarum contig33198, whole genome shotgun sequence.
GCGUUCGUAGUGUAGUGGUCAGCAUAUUUGACGCGUAUUCCAGAGGUUCGUGGUUCGAGUCCCGGCGAGGGCA